rnacentral:rRNA from 1 species
CGGGACGGGUGAGUAACGCGUGGAUAACCUGCCUCACACUGGGGGAUAACAGUUAGAAAUGGCUGCUAAUACCGCAUAAGCGCACAGUACCGCAUGGUACGGUGUGAAAACCCAGGUGGUGUGAGAUGGAUCCGCGUCUGAUUAGCCAGUUGGCGGGGUAACGGCCCGCCAAAGCGACGAUCAGUAGCCGACCUGAGAGGGUGACCGGCCACAUUGGGACUGAGACACGGCCCAA